GUGGAUUAGAUACCCUGGUAGUCCACGCCGUAAACGAUGUCAACUAGCCGUUGGUCUUAUUCGUAAGAUUCGUGGCGCAGCUAACGCGAUAAGUUGACCGCCUGGGGAGUACGGCCGCAAGGUUAAAACUCAAAUGAAUUGACGGGGGCCCGCACAAGCGGUGGAGCAUGUGGUUUAAUUCGAUGCAACGCGAAGAACCUUACCUACCCUUGACAUCCAGAGAAUCUGUGAGAGAUCGUAGAGUGCCUUCGGGAACUCUGAGACAGGUGCUGCACGGCCGUCGCCAGCU
rnacentral:rRNA from 1 species